ACGGAAGGUUCGGGCGUUAUCCGGAUUUAUUGGGUUUAAAGGGAGCGUAGGCCGGAGAUUAAGCGUGUUGUGAAAUGUAGAUGCUCAACAUCUGCACUGCAGCGCGAACUGGUUUCCUUGAGUACGCACAAAGUGGGCGGAAUUCGUGGUGUAGCGGUGAAAUGCUUAGAUAUCACGAAGAACUCCGAUUGCGAAGGCAGCUCACUGGAGCGCAACUGACGCUGAAGCUCGAAAGUGCGGGUAUCGAACAG
rnacentral:rRNA from 1 species